rnacentral:lncRNA from 1 species
GUUUCACUGAGACCUUGAAAUCAACAAAGAGAAGCCUCGUUAGAAAUCUUCAACUCCAAAGAACACAAUGCUGAGAAAUCUACAAUGCUACGGUUUGUUUGAUUCAUAGCAUAUACUAAAACUUCAAUGAAGUCCAACCGUUAGAAAAUAUGGAGUUUCUUGAGAUGCUUGGUGAAGGAGGUUUCAGUAGAGUUUUCCGUUGCCGUACGUGAAGUCAAAGCUAAUUGAAUCUUGGCUGUCAAACAAAUCUCUAUUCUUGAUAGUUAC